GAUGAACGCUGGCGGCGUGCCUAAUACAUGCAAGUCGAGCGAACAGACGAGGAGCUUGCUCCUCUGACGUUAGCGGCGGACGGGUGAGUAACACGUGGAUAACCUACCUAUAAGACUGGGAUAACUUCGGGAAACCGGAGCUAAUACCGGAUAAUAUAUUGAACCGCAUGGUUCAAUAGUGAAAGACGGUUUUGCUGUCACUUAUAGAUGGAUCCGCGCCGCAUUAGCUAGUUGGUAAGGUAACGGCUUACCAAGGCGACGAUGCGUAGCCGACCUGAGAGGGUGAUCGGCCACACUGGAACUGAGACACGGUCCAGACUCUUACGGGAGGCAGCAGUAGGGAAUCUUCCGCAAUGGGCGAAAGCCUGACGGAGCAACGCCGCGUGAGUGAUGAAGGUCUUCGGAUCGUAAAACUCUGUUAUUAGGGAAGAACAAAUGUGUAAGUAACUAUGCACGUCUUGACGGUACCUAAUCAGAAAGCCACGGCUAACUACGUG
rnacentral:rRNA from 1 species